GUUUUUUUAUGAUCAUAGUAUCAAGAGUGUUUGUCCUGAAGGUUGGAUGGAUUCCAGCAUCACUGUUAUUACAACAACUAUGAAUGUCUGACCUGAAACUGAUGCCAUAACUGGAACUGCAGUGUAUCCCAUAUCAAAAUUCAGUUUCCAAGCAAUUAGAUUUCUUAAAGAACUGACUCUGCUGCUUCCCAUAUUGUUGGUUGUUAAAAAAAAAAAAAAAGGAACAAAAAUGUUUGCAAGUGUUUCACAAUAGUGAGAACACUGUAACCAGAAACAUGAAACAACUGCAGUGCAAACAUGCGCCGUUUGUCCACCCUACUGGCUUAUUGGCAGGUCUCUCUGCUCUCGCAGCUGUUUUGGAAGAAGCACU
ensembl:lncRNA